ensembl:lncRNA
GGGGAGAACUGCAUAAUAAUGAUCUCAGAAAGAAAAAAUGAACACUGUUCUGGGCAAAGAAAAACAUUUACAUCAACAUACGAUCAGCAAGAGUACUACUACCUACCAAAUCACUGAAAAAUCAACAUAAAGCCCCAGUGAGAGAAAAUUUUAUUUCAUUUUUAUUAAUUAAUGCAAUAUACAGUCAAGCCAGAGAGUGAACUACAAGUGAUACAUAUUCACAUUAUGUCCUAACAAGGUUUACAGCAUAUUUUCGAGUUUAUCAUAAUAAACAAAAACAAAAAGUAAAAUACAAAUCGAAAGCUCACACGUUACAACAUCGAGAAGAAAACAAAACAUCAAGGAACUUAGCAGUGUAUUCAAAUGCAUCAAUUUGAAAAAGAAAAAAAAAAGACCUCACCAUGACAGGAAUGACAGAAAAUUCAAAUUUGGCAUGUGGUGAAAAGCUAUGAAGUUUACAGAGUUUUUGAAAAUCAGUGACAUGAACGGGAGGCUUGUAGCCAGUGGGCUGUGCAGGGAUGCCUUCACUAGAAAAAUAAAAACCCUUUGGUCACAUUGCUAUUCCAUGGCUUAUGUGUGGAUAUGGACUCACUUUCAAGAGAAUAUGUAUUUCAUAAUAAUAAAAAAUGGGGUGUCCUGGAAAGAACUUACAUUUUUUUUUUUUUUUUUUUUUUAAAGAAUGAGUUCAAUCAUGCGGCCCAGAAUUUCGAAAUCUUGUGAAUAGCUUUUUUUUUUUGUCUUGUGUUUGCUUCACGUUGGGCCACAAAACUGUAAAUGAAUGAGUUAAAAGAAAAAAAAGGAAAAAACUUCUCAGGACACUCCCUCCCUACAUUCAUAGGAGGUAGAUGAAAAGCAACAGACGUAGGGCAUUGAAUAACUAUCGCUAUGGGCAACAUAUAGCUUACACGUUGAAGGUCAUAGUGCAUCAUUAAGGCCAGAUGUCCAAAAACAGUGUUCCAACACCACAUGCAACUGGCUAAUUUAAGACAGCGGUGAGGGAGGUGAAAGGUAACAGAACAGUAGCAGAUAUAGCCCUUAGUUGGCAAUACCUGAGUCUGCAGUCACAUUUCAUCAUUCACCAAUAGGGAUAAUCUCAUCGGGAUCAAUUAUUCUAUGCCCAUUUACUGUUUGACACGUUGAGCCAUCAUACAGGAGUCGCCCAAGUGAAACGAUACGUGCAUUAGAAUGCUCUGUGAAAGUACGUCAUUGAAUUUUAUGUCAGAUGUGACCAUUUUGGGGAAAACUGAAGUUGAAAGGAAACCUUUGACCUCAACAAGUUUCAAGGUCACAUCUUUAUGCAGAGGUUUUGAUUGACAGCGCACCCUGUGUCUCGUACAAAUGCACACGCUAUUUCUAUCUGGGUUCAAAUAAAAGGGACGCGAUGAAGCUGUGCCAUUCUAGACACACACACAAAAAAAAAAAACAGGCAUUUGCACAGCCUUAUGUGUUCAACAAACCUCCCAGGAUAAAGGGAUAUUUUAAUGACUUUGGGGGAAAAAAAACAAAAAAAAAUGAAGUAUGCAAAAUUAAAAUAUAAAUGAAAUGUCAAUGCAGCAUAUAUCAGGCUUAUGAGGUACUUCAUGUCUAUAUACUUUUUUUUUCUUUAGAAAAGUUAUCCAAGUCAUAUUAUUCCUUAAAGUUCCUAUUGUAGCAGAAAAUACCUCGUUCUUUUUUAUCUUUUUCUCACUCUGCCCGACCAGAUGUGUGCAAUUUCUUUUAAAAACUGCUUAGAAAGUGCAAAAUAUAAAUACUGAUCAUUCUAUGCAGCAUGUUCUUACAAGGUUACAUGAUAAUUAACAUAGAAAUUCUUUUAUGUUGAGAGGGGGGGGGGAGUGAUCGAAAAGGCACACACAGGAGUAAGGGAGGGGAAAAAUGCAUUUCUUUCAACCUCACAUCUUGUCCAAAGAAUUUGGAUUUGAAUUUCUACACAACCUUAUCUGUACCAUUCUGCUGAGGAAAAUUCUUUGAGACGCCGAAAACCAACCAGUGCAUUGGUUUAAAAAAAAUUUAAAUAAAAAGUGUUAUUCGAUUUGUCACUUAGAAUUAUUCCCUUUAUAAAAUGCAAUUAGCCAACCAAUAUGUAUUUUUUUGAAACAGAGAACUGUCAUAGCUUAUGCAUGUUCUGCAUUUGUCCUCUGGGAGAAGACAACAGAUUUGAAAUUGACAAGCUUCACUGAUUUUAUUGCCAUAUGGUUACAAAAUGAAAUCAAGUAGAGGAUUACAACCCAAACCAGUGCUCUGUCUGACCUCUAUACACAGUUUACGACAAUGGCCUUUGCUGAUCAGAUACUGCACACGCUUUGUUGAGACUUCAUGCUGCCAUGCUGAAGAGCAAAAUCCAGAGUUUCAGAUAAUAACCAAUAAAACAUCAUCCAUUAUCAUUCAUCCAUGAUUAGCGGACAACCCAGAAUAUGGCACAUCCCUGUCAAAUCGCAUAAAUAUACCACUUUUCAAAUAUAUACCAUCGGAAACCCCAGAUAGUAUUUAUUAACCUCUGGUCCAAAGAUACAUGCCACUUUGCAUUUCCAACAAACUUCCACAGGCAUUUAGCCAACCAAUGACUUGACUUCAGGCAUUCUCUCUCAUAUCUAGCUCAUCCACUCUACACUCUUAAAAAGGUUCUUGGAACCAUUUUAGGUUCUUCAGGUCUUUUCUGCUAAAAAGGUCUUGCUAAAGCCUUUAAGUGUUUUUAUGGAGUUUUGAAGGUUCCACUUAGAUGGCUCUACUUUGAACCUUUGAGGGUUCUUUUAGAAGCCUUUGUGACAGUUCAUUGCCAAAAAUGUUGAGAAGGUUUUUCCAGAAGACACUUUAGCGUUGUAGAACUUUUUAAGGCUCCUACUCUCCAUCUCCUCUGCUUAGUGUGCAGAUCAGCACAACCAAAUGGCACCUAUACUCAUAGAAUUGUACAACCUCAGAACAGUUACUGACCCUUCAAAGGACAGCAAUGGAUCAUGGCCAGGUCAUUACACAGUUGGCAAAUGUGUCAUCCAGUCAUGGUUGAAGCUCACUGCAAUAAAUAACGGUGUUCAAAGGCAGUUUUUAAAAACAAAAUAGUUUUAAAUCGUAAGAGGACAUUCGCAUAAAACGCCAUUUCCAAUUACAAAUUUUUUGGUCCCCUGAUAUUUCUUUUUGGCCGAUAAAAUGUCCCUUAAAUUAGUCCUUAACAACAUUAAAAAAAAAAAAAAAAUGAACAAUAUUUUCUUUAAAAAACAGUAUUGGCUUGCGUUUGGUCACUAUUCUUGUUCUUUGUCAUCAUGUAGAUCAGGGGCACAUGCUAGCACCUGCCACCGUUCUGAGGUAGUGUUCCAAGUUGGUAUAAAAAGCCAGAUCAUUCUGAAGCUGUUGAGGACAGGAAAAGUGGAUUGGUUCAUUUCAGUCUUAGGUUGCCCCCCCACCCCCCCACACGCUUCCCAAUCACAGCAAUAUGGCAUUGAUUUUGAAGACUGGAGCAGUAAGUGUGUCCAUUGAAAAACUCCACUCGUUAUGGCAUAUCUGGGAACUAUGAAUGUCUAGCAACGGAAUCUGGAAUGGAAGCCUCAGAGAGCAAAGGUAAUGCUGGUUUUACCAAAGAACUUGUCAGAGAAAAAGUGAACUAUGAAAACAAGGGGUGCUGCAUAUCAGUGAAGAUCUGUCAGUUCAAGGAUACAAAGGCUUAAUAUGGAAUAAAGAAACUGCCAUGAAGGAGGGGGGGGGGAAAUAUUUAAAAAAAAAUAUCAUGAAGAUAGGGUCACUCAGCUGUAUGGUAUGUGCCAUCAUGUAGUGAGGCACACAGCCUUUACAUGCAUUCAUUAAAAUUGUGAUGGAUUAAUUGAGACAGAAAAUAAAAGUUUGAUCAAUUAAUUUGAACAAUAAAUGGUGUUUCUGAGGGAACAUCUCAUCUGUUCUCUCUAUACAGGCAAACUGCCGAAAGCAGUGGAAAUAAAAAGGGAAAAGCUUUGAGAACUAAAUGCAAUUUUUUUUGUAGCAUGUUCCAUCUAUUGCAGCUUACGUCAAGGUAUAGAUAGAACAAACUCGAACACAUAGGUCAAGAGUACAGAGUUUUUACAAUGCUAGUAUUCAAAAAUACAUUCACCAUGUUAUGCUGAUUUGAUCCUCUGGAAGGAUCAAUGAAUAAGAGCAACAUAAAGGGAGGGAUCUUUUGUAUAUUUUGCUGAUCACGGCCACUGAUUAACAAAAAAACGGCAAUAGUAAAAUUAUUGGUGGCAACCAUGAGAUCGAACUCAAAUAAAGCUGAAUGUGCAAGCCUUGCGAAAAAGGAAAAAAGAAAAGCACACACACACACACACACACACACAACACCCUGCAGCCUAAAACUUAUGGGGAAAGCAUUCAUACAAGCUAAAAUAGUCAAACUGGAGCAAUCAAUAAUAGGUUUUCCAGCUGUUUUCUGAAGAAAUAUUUAGAAGGAAAAAAUUAAAUCUAAAACAUAACUAAGCGUUAUUUGCAGAAUAAAAUGCCACUGCUCUUGAAAAUAACCCUGUUGGUAGUGUUUAAGCAAGUAAGCUAUUUUGGCCAAACAUAAAAAGGUAGGAGAGUUAUAUGAUGUAAUGAUUUUAAAACCUUCAGUGUAAAGUCUGAUACAGUCCUGAGAACACUGUAUGUGCUUACAAGUAAUCAUGGAAUUUUCAGUCACAUAAAUACAGGGCCAAACUAUAUAGUGCUGCAUUAUUUAUUCUGACGAAACCAAAAAACUAAAACAAAACAGUCUACAGCAAAAAGAGAAAUAGCUUGAGCCUUAACAGGUAUACAAAAAUAAGAUUUGAAUUACGAUUGAACAAUCUACAGUUUUUGUCGCCAACACAGCACAAUUUAUCCACAGUGCCAAUCUGUUUUAAUAAAGCACCACAAGAGUCCACCUGCCGAGUGUCUUCCAGCUUGCGCUCUAAACACACUCCAAAAUCAUUGACACAGAUAUGUUGCCAUUAACAUUUUAAUGAUUUGGCAAAUGACUGGAGGAAGGUUUGGAUGACAUCCAAUGAAAUCCAAGAGCAAUGAUUAAAAAAUUAAAUAAAAAUGUAAGAAUCUUAUAUGAUUCCAUUUUGACUGCUUCCAUCAAUGUUUCCAUUAGUACACUUUUUUUUGCAUAGGCUGUAACAAUGUAGAACUUGGCAUAAGUAGAUGUUCACGGUUCUCUCUUGUACCAAUGUUUGUCUCCGUGUCUGUGUGUGGCUAAUGUAACCCCAAGACCUUUAAAAGAAAGUCACUAAGAUGACCGCACAGCUACCCGCAUCACUUUCGCCCCCAAUUCUGAGGUAUACACUUCUAAAACACCACUGACAACACGUUUCACAACUCCAAACUUCUUCUAUAAUAGUGCAAAACAUAAUGUUUUUAUACUUUUUCAUACUUUUAAAAGGAAUUGCAUAUGCUGAGAACAUCUGGAAGUCUAAGGUGCUGGUAUCAGAAGGUAGAAAUUGUAACAUUUAAAAAGACAAAAAUCAUUGGAAAUCCUUUUUCAAGACUGGAUUGAGAAGAAAAGAAAAGACGCAAUUUCACUAACAAAUAAAACUAACAAAUGUAAGUACUGAAACAAGGUGAGUGAAUCAAAAGAAGAGAAUUACACAGGAUGUGUGUACUUGAACAAGGAGCUAAAAAGAGGGGCAAGUGUAUUCAGGGUUGGUUGUUCUGGCAUUUCUGACUUGAUUAAUACUGAAUUAUGGAGAAGUCAAUUAAAGAAGCUGGAAAAUGGCAUACAAGCUUAUAAAAAUGUAUGUGUGAUGCAUGAACAACUAUGCAUUUGUGAGGGGAAAAAAAAAAAAAAAAAAAAAAUCAGAUGAUUUGGUACACGGCACAUUUAAAAAAAUAAUAAACCCAAUGCCCUCUAAACAAGAGAUGGCCAUCUCUCCAUCAUACUAAAAUCUGCAGUGACUGCAGAAUGUGGCAAAGCACCUAAUAAAUCAAAAGCAGUCAAUUUGGCACCGGUAAGCUUAGUGAAAUGAUCAGUAACAAUGGGGGAAAUUAACGGACAACCUAGAAUCCAAAGUUAACUCAGCCAUCUCAAGCCUGCCGACAAGAGACUUCAGUUACAAUCAAAUGCACGGGUUUGUGGACCAUUCAGAGCGGGGGGGGGGGGGGGGGGAUAAUCUCCAAGGGCGACGUGAGGUGGGGUGACAUUUUACUUUCAAUCCAGUCAAAGCCAACCAAUCCAUCAUCUAAACAAGGGAACCAGCUGAGACUAGACCAAUUGAAGUUUGGUUAGACGCAAAACAUCCUCACAUCACAUCAGCCCUUUGCAAAAAAAAUGACAUUACUCAGCCCUGAUAUCAGGAGAUCAGUGAUGCAGGAUCAGUGAGCAUGACACCACCUUUGGAUAUGACGGAAAAAAGAAAGAAAGAAAGAAAAAAAAAAAACGGAGAAUUACCACUUUGUGACACCAUUGUUCAUUUUGUCUCAUGCAAUUAUGAGGAAAUGACCUGUGCUGUAAUGUUACCAUCCUAUUAGUAACAGGUAACAAGAGGUAAACACAAGGCCACUUCAACACAAUUGCACCCGAGCAAUAGCACAGCUUGGCUAUUUCCUGCCUGUGACAACACGUCAAAGAAACGGAUGGAAUAUGCCCCAUGUCCAUUGUUAUUCAAAGUGCACCCAGAUUUAUAUGUUGCGAUACCAGCGCCAAAUAAUUACGAGAAAAAAAAAAAAAAACAGCUCUCAUCAAGUAUUUGAUUAAAAUAAAUGCCCCAUAUACAAAGUCAGCUGGAUUUUGAGUCAGUUAUGGAGAAAGGGGGGGAAAUCAAUAUGACUGAUUAGGAAAAGUACAGGUUAACAAAAAUGAUCUUAAUGAUCUUAACGAAUGAAGAACCUCUUGGACCUGUCCAUUUUGAGGUUUAAGGUGACGUUACAUUAAGGGAUGAAGUACAAGUUAUUUCCCCUCUGUAUACCGAGGGGCUCUAGCACCUACACUUACAACAUCCAUUUGUGCUUCAAAAACUGUGGACAUUGAUCAUGACAAAUCUUGUUUGGCUUAGGUGGGGGGUGGGGGUGGGAACUGAUACUGUACAAAUAAUUCCCAAUUGUCUGUGUCGUCAGAAUAUAUAUAAUAUUUGCAAAUGAGGACCUAAGGCAAAUACUGCUACAAGGGUCUCCCUAUCUACAACAAUAGAAGUGUCUAAAAUUCAUACAGACAAACAUGUCACAGCUAAAAUAUCUUUGUUAAGAAUGCAUAGUUAAGAAAAAAAAUUGUUAAAAUCUGACCAAAACUAAGCCAAGUCUUCCCAGGCCAAUGAGCCAUUUUAAGAAGAGGGUGACUACAAGUACAGUUACUUGGGCAUGUUCUGUACGUUUUUUUUUUUUACUUUCUUUAAAAAGGCAUUCAAGCUUGCACGAUCAAUAGAGGACAAGCUUAAUGUAAAUGUGGACCAGUCGAUUUACUUCGAUCUACAAAAUAAAAAGACUAAAACUCCAGACCCUAGCCGUAGACGAUACUCAUUCUACUUGGGGGCAAAGUAAAUAUCAAUCUUUUGUCGCCCCUUCUUAAAGCGAGAGGAACACAAAUGCUAAAACAACACUGAAACAGAGACAGUGGCAUGAUGUUCAGGGUCUUGGCACCCAAUCUAAGCACAGUGAUGACGAGUAUUACGCCAAUUCAAGACCAAGCACAGUUUCUUUGCAAGUACACGCAAGUGGUGCCUCUAGCACCGUCUGCUAGUUCCAUAAGCUUGAUGUGAGCUGGCUAGCGGGGCCUGUUGGUACCAGCGUCCUGCAUUUCAUAUGUGCUGGGCUGGAGUCAUACGAGUCCAGUCAACCCAAAAACAAGAAACUUGAUAAACAUGGAAAUCAUGAAGCUAGAGAUGCACUCCUCUGAUAAAUCAGGCAUGAUUGGACUGGACUGCAUACAAUUCUAUGCCAACAGCAGAGCAUACCAAUAGGACUACACGCUCACCAUGUGAAUUAUUCUUAAGGACUGGCCAAUUUGCUGUAGGAAUCUAGUGUAUUUAAAAUGCAAACAAAAACAUAAGAUUAAGGUCAAACGCCCAGAUUAUCCAAAUGCUGCACUACGAGAUUGAAAGAUAAAAUUCAGGUCAAAUGUGCUCAUAUAUAUGUGUAUAUAGGAGGGGGGGGGGGGGAGUAUAAUAAAAAAAAAAAAAGAAAUUGUGACAUAUCAUCAAUAAAAGGGCAGAAUCAUCUCUGUGAUUAUCUUGGCUCAGAGCACCAUCGCUAUAAGAACAGGGAUCCAGUCCCACGUAAGCAGUUCAAAGCCUCCCUCAAGGGAGGGCCACUUCCUGAUUGUACAAACAAAUCCAAAGUGGGGGUGGGGGGGGUGGUGAGGGUAAGAGACGAAUGGAGGCCAGAUCCUUUUCGUUUAAUUUAACCACAAUCAUUUCUGAUUUGUCCUCCUCAAGCUCUGUAGAGAGCCAAAGUCUUGAUUUGUACACGUUAAAGUUUUCCUUGCCUUUUUUCGAUUCAUAGCUUAGCAGUCCACCACCAUUUCAUCAGAUGAAAUAUGUAGUAUUCAGUCUGGCAAAAAAAAAUGCCUGUUUUUGGUCACCUCACCUGAGGGGCUAAUACAGUAGGUCUAAACAGGCUGUCAAAUGAAACUAAUUGAUGAAACACACACACACACACACACACACACACAGAGAGAUUAAGUACUUAUGGCAUGCGCCGGUCGCCCUUCUCCUCAGGGGCACAUUGCUGGUUAAAGUCAUUUUCUAAACGGGAAGCAGGGAGGACCUAACCGACUUCCCCACAGCAUAGCUUCAUAGUUUAUGCCCUUUCAAGUUCAUGCCCCUUUAGUCGUCUGUGAAUGCACUGCACACGUAAGGACUGGGUCGCCAACGGUUACAAUCAAGUCAAGGUUAACCCCACCCCCACCCCGGUCCACCCAAGAUACUAGACACAGUUGUCAGUGUAAAAGGAAUUCUGGAUAGGAUUGUUCUCCUAUGUAAACAAGUUAGCCCCUACAUGUACAAAUAUAAAACAUUUACAAUACACAUAUAUAUAUAUAAAAAAAAACAAAAAAAACACGCGCACACACACAGACACGCACAAUUUAGCGAGGACCCCUUCUUUACGUGCCCCUAGAUCACAUCCGUCAGAUGCUACGAGUUUGUUUGGGUUUUUGGAAUACAUGUUGUGGCCUUUUGGGGAGCGUAACAGGGAAGUUGUACUGUUUUGUUUGCUUGUCCAUGUGGGGGUCUCAGACAUGGCACUGUGUAACCUGUUCUGAUGAAGUCCACAGUGCGGCCAGGGGGAGAGAGAUCUGGGUCUUUCUGGAUCCACCUUCCACUGCUUCCUGAUGUGCUGCUGCUGCUGCUGCCCUAAGUGCUGAUGGGGCAAAUUGAGAGAGAGGAAGGCACAGAGAGAGAGAACGAGAGAG